UCCAGUUGAUCCUGCUGGCGGCUGCGGCUCUCUGGUUUGCUCUAAGACAUGCAAGUUUCUUUGUUUCUUCGGAAGUAGAGGAGCGAACUGCUCAGUAACACGUCGGUAACCUAACCUUAGACCAGGAAUAACCUCUGGGAAACUGAGGAUAAUGCCUGAUAGAAGAUAUACCCUGGAAAGAUUUAUCUUUGAACUAAGGAUGGGCCGGCGGCGGAUUAGGUUGUUGGCGGGGUAAUAGCCCACCAAGCCUGUGAUCCGUAAGGGCUCUUAGCGGAGGAGCCCUGAGAGGGAAUCUGAGCCACUAUUCCCAGCCCCACGGGGUGCAGCAGUUAGGAAUAAUCUGCAAUGCGCGCAAGCGUGACAGUUUGAGCCAGAGUGCUUCUCAAUGAGAAGCUUUUGCUGAAUGUAAAAAGUUCGGCGAAUAAGGACUGGGUAAGACUAGUGCCAGCCGCCGCGGUAAUACUAGCGGUCCAAGUCGCAGCCACAUUUAUUGGGUCUAAAACAUCCGUAGCUUGCCUUGUAAGUCUCUUGUGAAAUCUCGUGUCUUAAGCACGAGGCGUGCGAGAGGUACUGCAUGGCUAGAGACUGGGAGACGUGAGAAGUACGUUCGGAGUAGCGGUAAAAUGUUUUAAUCCUGAGCGGACUCACAACAGCGAAGGCAUCUCACGAGAACAGUUCUGACAGUGAGGGAUGAAGGCUAGGGGCGCAAAACGGAUUAGAUACCCGUGUAGUCCUAGCAGUAAACACUGCACACUAAACAUCGGGACCUCCUCGAGAGGUUUCGGUGCUGCAGCGAAGGCGAAGAGUGUGCUACCUGGGAAGUAUAGUCGCAAGGCCGAAACUUAAAGGAAUUGGCGGGGAGACACUACAACAGGUGACGCGUGCGGUUCAAUUAGAUUCUACACCGUGAACCUCACCAGGAGCGACAGCAGAAUGAAGGUCAGUCUGAAGGGCUUACCUGACACGCUGAGAGGAGUUGCAUGGCCGACGUCAGCCUGUGUUGUGAGAUGACCUGUUAAAUCAGGUAACAGGCAAGACCCUCGUGCAUAUUUAUAUUCUAUAUGCAGAUUGCCUUGGUAACAAGGAUGAAAGUGAGGGCUACGUUAGGUGAGUACAGCCCUAAUCCCCUGGGCAACACGCGCGCGUCAAUGGUGGAUACAACGGGACGCAACUCCGAAAGGAGAAGCUAAUCUCUUAAAGUCCAUCUCAGUCCAAAUCGAGGUUUGUAACUCAGCCUCGUGACGCUGGAAUCUGUAGUAAUCGUUUGUUAUCAGCGAACGGUGAAUAAGUCACUGUCUCUUGCACACACUGCCCGUCAAACCAACCAAGUUUAGUUAUGGUGAAACUCUUCGGAGGAGAACCUUGGCUAGAUGAGGUAGGUU
rnacentral:rRNA from 1 species